GACAGAGGGUGCAAACGUUGUUCGGAAUUACUGGGCGUAAAGCGCGUGUAGGCUGCUUCGCAAGUCGGGUGUGAAAGCCCUGGGCUCAACCUAGGAAGUGCACUCGAAACUGCGAAGCUUGAGUCCUGGAGAGGAAGGCGGAAUUCUCGGUGUAGAGGUGAAAUUCGUAGAUAUCGAGAGGAACACCGGUGGCGAAGGCGGGUCUCUGGGCCGAUACUGACGCUGAGGCACGAAAGCGUGGGGAGCAAACAGG
rnacentral:rRNA from 1 species